rnacentral:rRNA from 1 species
AUUGAACUCUGGCGGCAGGCCUAACACAUGCAAGUCGAGCGGAGCGGCGGACGGGUGCGUAAUACCUAGGAAUCUGCCUGUUAGUGGGUGAUAACGUCCGGAAACGGGCACUAAUACCGCAUACUAACGGCUGCGACUAGGUCGGAUUAGCUAGUGGGCGGGGUAAAGGCCUACAAAGGCGACGAUCCGUAACUGGUCGGAGAGGAUGAUCAGUCAAACUGGAACUGAGACACGGUCCAGCGUCCUACGGGAGGCAGCAGUGGGGAAUAUUGAACAAUGGGCGAAAGCCUGAUCCAGCCAUUCCGCGUGUGUGAAGAAGGUCUUCGGAUUGUAAAGCACUUUAAGUUGGGAGGCGUUACCAACAGAAUAAGCACCGGCUAACUUCGUGCCAGCCGCCGCGGUAAUUC